UACAGAGGUGGCUAGCGUUGUUCGGAAUUAUUGGGCGUAAAGGGCUCGUAGGCGGUUUGUCGCGUCGGGAGUGAAAACUCAGGGCUUAACCCUGAGCCUGCUUCCGAUACGGGCAGACUAGAGGUAUGGCAGGGGAGAAUGGAAUUCCUGGUGUAGCGGUGAAAAUGCGCAGAUAUCAGGAGGAACACCGGUGGCGAAGGCGGUUCUCUGGGCAUUACCUGACGCUGAGGAGCGAAAGUGUGGGGAGCGAACAGG
rnacentral:rRNA from 1 species